AUUUUUGAUGAAAAAUGCCAUUUUUGAUGAAAAAUGUAAGGUUAACCCCUUGUUAUUUUCGAUGAAAAAUGCCGUUUUUGAUGCAAAAUGUAAGGUUAACCCCUUGUUAUUUUUGAUGAAAAAUGCCAU